rnacentral:rRNA from 1 species
UACGUAGGGUGCAAGCGUUUAAUCGGAAUUACUGGGCGUAAAGCGUGCGCAGGCGGUGAUGUAAGACAGAUGUGAAAUCCCCGGGCUCAACUUGGGAACUGCAUCUGUGACUGUAUAGCUAGAGUACGGUAGAGGGGGAUGGAAUUCCGCGUGUAGCAGUGAAAUGCGUAGAGAUCCGGAAGAACACCGGUGGCGAAGGCGGUGAGCUGGGCAGUUGCUGACACUGAGGCGCGACGAGCGUGGGGAGCAAACAGG